rnacentral:rRNA from 1 species
UGUGAUGGGCGAGCCUGAUCAGCAUGCCGCGUGUGUGAAGAAGGCCUUCGGGUUGUAAAGCACUUUUGUCCGGAAAGAAAUGGCUCUGGUUAAUACCUGGGGUCGAUGACGGUACCGGAAGAAUAAGGACCGGCUAACUACGUGCCAGCAGCCGCGGUAAUACGUAGGGUCCAAGCGUUAAUCGGAAUUACUGGGCGUAAAGCGUGCGCAGGCGGUUGUGCAAGACCGAUGUGAAAUCCCCGAGCUUAACCUGGGAAUUGCAUUGGUGACUGCACGGCUAGAGUGUGUCAGAGGGGGGUAGAAUUCCACGUGUAGCAGUGAAAUGCGUAGAGAUGUGGAGGAAUACCGAUGGCGAAGGCAGCCCCCUGGGAUAACACUGACGCUCAUGCACGAAAGCGUGGGGAGCAAACAGGAUUAGAUACCCUGGUAGUCCACGCCCUAAACGAUGUCAACUAGUUGUUGGGGAUUCAUUUCCUUAGUAACGUAGCUAACGCGUGAAGUUGACCGCCUGGGGAGUACGGUCGCAAGAUUAAAACUCAAAAAAAUUUGACGG